CCUACGGGAGGCAGCAGUGAGGAAUAUUGGACAAUGGGCGCAAGCCUGAUCCAGCCAUGCCGCGUGCAGGAAGACGGUCCUAUGGAUUGUAAACUGCUUUUAUACAGGAAGAAACACCUCUACGUGUAGAGACUUGACGGUACUGUAUGAAUAAGCAUCGGCUAACUCCGUGCCAGCAGCCGCGGUAAUACGGAGGAUGCAAGCGUUAUCCGGAAUCAUUGGGUUUAAAGGGUCCGUAGGCGGUUUAAUAAGUCAGUGGUGAAAGCCCAUCGCUCAACGAUGGAACGGCCAUUGAUACUGUUAAACUUGAAUUAUUAGGAAGUAACUAGAAUAUGUAGUGUAGCGGUGAAAUGCUUAGAGAUUACAUGGAAUACCAAUUGCGAAGGCAGGUUACUACUAAUAUAUUGACGCUGAUGGACGAAAGCGUGGGGAGCGAACAGGAUUAGAUACCCUGGUAGUCCACGCCGUAAACGAUGGAUACUAGCUGUUCGGAGCAAUCUGAGUGGCUAAGCGAAAGUGAUAAGUAUCCCACCUGGGGAGUACGUUCGCAAGAAUGAAACUCAAAGGAAAUUGACG
rnacentral:rRNA from 1 species